ACUAAGCGUACACGGUGGAUGCCCUGGCAGUCAGAGGCGAUGAAGGACGUGCUAAUCUGCGAUAAGCGUCGGUAAGGUGAUAUGAACCGUUAUAACCGGCGAUUUCCGAAUGGGGAAACCCAGUGUGUUUCGACACACUAUCAUUAACUGAAUCCAUAGGUUAAUGAGGCGAACCGGGGGAACUGAAACAUCUAAGUACCCCGAGGAAAAGAAAUCAACCGAGAUUCCCCCAGUAGCGGCGAGCGAACGGGGAGCAGCCCAGAGCCUGAAUCAGUGUGUGUGUUAGUGGAAGCGUCUGGAAAGGCGCGCGAUACAGGGUGACAGCCCCGUACACAAAAAUGCACAUGCUGUGAGCUCGAUGAGUAGGGCGGGACACGUGGUAUCCUGUCUGAAUAUGGGGGGACCAUCCUCCAAGGCUAAAUACUCCUGACUGACCGAUAGUGAACCAGUACCGUGAGGGAAAGGCGAAAAGAACCCCGGCGAGGGGAGUGAAAAAGAACCUGAAACCGUGUACGUACAAGCAGUGGGAGCCUCUUUAUGGGGUGACUGCGUACCUUUUGUAUAAUGGGUCAGCGACUUAUAUUCUGUAGCAAGGUUAACCGAAUAGGGGAGCCGAAGGGAAACCGAGUCUUAACUGGGCGUUAAGUUGCAGGGUAUAGACCCGAAACCCGGUGAUCUAGCCAUGGGCAGGUUGAAGGUUGGGUAACACUAACUGGAGGACCGAACCGACUAAUGUUGAAAAAUUAGCGGAUGACUUGUGGCUGGGGGUGAAAGGCCAAUCAAACCGGGAGAUAGCUGGUUCUCCCCGAAAGCUAUUUAGGUAGCGCCUCGUGAACUCAUCUCCGGGGGUAGAGCACUGUUUCGGCAAGGGGGUCAUCCCGACUUACCAACCCGAUGCAAACUGCGAAUACCGGAGAAUGUUAUCACGGGAGACACACGGCGGGUGCUAACGUCCGUCGUGAAGAGGGAAACAACCCAGACCGCCAGCUAAGGUCCCAAAGUCAUGGUUAAGUGGGAAACGAUGUGGGAAGGCCCAGACAGCCAGGAUGUUGGCUUAGAAGCAGCCAUCAUUUAAAGAAAGCGUAAUAGCUCACUGGUCGAGUCGGCCUGCGCGGAAGAUGUAACGGGGCUAAACCAUGCACCGAAGCUGCGGCAGCGACACUAUGUGUUGUUGGGUAGGGGAGCGUUCUGUAAGCCUGUGAAGGUGUACUGUGAGGUAUGCUGGAGGUAUCAGAAGUGCGAAUGCUGACAUAAGUAACGAUAAAGCGGGUGAAAAGCCCGCUCGCCGGAAGACCAAGGGUUCCUGUCCAACGUUAAUCGGGGCAGGGUGAGUCGACCCCUAAGGCGAGGCCGAAAGGCGUAGUCGAUGGGAAACAGGUUAAUAUUCCUGUACUUGGUGUUACUGCGAAGGGGGGACGGAGAAGGCUAUGUUGGCCGGGCGACGGUUGUCCCGGUUUAAGCGUGUAGGCUGGUUUUCCAGGCAAAUCCGGAAAAUCAAGGCUGAGGCGUGAUGACGAGGCACUACGGUGCUGAAGCAACAAAUGCCCUGCUUCCAGGAAAAGCCUCUAAGCAUCAGGUAACAUCAAAUCGUACCCCAAACCGACACAGGUGGUCAGGUAGAGAAUACCAAGGCGCUUGAGAGAACUCGGGUGAAGGAACUAGGCAAAAUGGUGCCGUAACUUCGGGAGAAGGCACGCUGAUAUGUAGGUGAAGUCCCUCGCGGAUGGAGCUGAAAUCAGUCGAAGAUACCAGCUGGCUGCAACUGUUUAUUAAAAACACAGCACUGUGCAAACACGAAAGUGGACGUAUACGGUGUGACGCCUGCCCGGUGCCGGAAGGUUAAUUGAUGGGGUCAGCGCAAGCGAAGCUCUUGAUCGAAGCCCCGGUAAACGGCGGCCGUAACUAUAACGGUCCUAAGGUAGCGAAAUUCCUUGUCGGGUAAGUUCCGACCUGCACGAAUGGCGUAAUGAUGGCCAGGCUGUCUCCACCCGAGACUCAGUGAAAUUGAACUCGCUGUGAAGAUGCAGUGUACCCGCGGCAAGACGGAAAGACCCCGUGAACCUUUACUAUAGCUUGACACUGAACAUUGAGCCUUGAUGUGUAGGAUAGGUGGGAGGCUUGGAAGUGUGGACGCCAGUCUGCAUGGAGCCGACCUUGAAAUACCACCCUUUAAUGUUUGAUGUUCUAACGUUGACCCGUAAUCCGGGUUGCGGACAGUGUCUGGUGGGUAGUUUGACUGGGGCGGUCUCCUCCUAAAGAGUAACGGAGGAGCACGAAGGUUGGCUAAUCCUGGUCGGACAUCAGGAGGUUAGUGCAAUGGCAUAAGCCAGCUUGACUGCGAGCGUGACGGCGCGAGCAGGUGCGAAAGCAGGUCAUAGUGAUCCGGUGGUUCUGAAUGGAAGGGCCAUCGCUCAACGGAUAAAAGGUACUCCGGGGAUAACAGGCUGAUACCGCCCAAGAGUUCAUAUCGACGGCGGUGUUUGGCACCUCGAUGUCGGCUCAUCACAUCCUGGGGCUGAAGUAGGUCCCAAGGGUAUGGCUGUUCGCCAUUUAAAGUGGUACGCGAGCUGGGUUUAGAACGUCGUGAGACAGUUCGGUCCCUAUCUGCCGUGGGCGCUGGAGAACUGAGGGGGGCUGCUCCUAGUACGAGAGGACCGGAGUGGACGCAUCACUGGUGUUCGGGUUGUCAUGCCAAUGGCACUGCCCGGUAGCUAAAUGCGGAAGAGAUAAGUGCUGAAAGCAUCUAAGCACGAAACUUGCCCCGAGAUGAGUUCUCCCUGACUCCUUGAGAGUCCUGAAGGAACGUUGAAGACGACGACGUUGAUAGGCCGGGUGUGUAAGCGCAGCGAUGCGUUGAGCUAACCGGUACUAAUGAACCGUGAGGCUUAACC
rnacentral:rRNA from 1 species